rnacentral:ncRNA from 1 species
CAUGAAAGUUGGGAAGAGACCCGUCAAAAGGAUCUGACGGGCACCGAAGGGGCAAAUUUGCUCCCCCGCAAGGCGCAAAUGAAACUCUCAGGUACCAGGGACCCUGCUUUCUAC